rnacentral:tRNA from 1 species
CAGGGAGACAACAUAAUGUUUAAUAUUAUUAUUUUGUCACCUUAGGUCGAUCGGUAUCUCACGUUUUUAAUUUAUUAAAAAUUUCAUUUCCUAAGUUUUUCUAGGUCACACCCAUUAUUUUUCCUGGGCCAUUAGCUCAGGUGGUUAGAGCGCACCCCUGAUAAGGGUGAGGUCCCUGGUUCAAGUCCAGGAUGGCCCAUAUCUCUAUGUUGGGGGUAUAGCUCAGUUGGUAGAGCGCCUGCUUUGCAAGCAGGAUGUCAGCGGUUCGAGUCCGCUUACCUCCACUGAUUACCACCUCUUCCAUAACCGGUAGAAAGGAAAUGUAUUGAGUUGUGAUCAAAUUCUGAAAGAAUCUAGCUUCCUAAUGAAAACCAUUAAGAUGCUGGACUCAUUGAAUUAAUUUCAUUGUUUUCAGAGAACCUUGACAACUGCAUAGAUUAUUUUUAAAGACAAUAAGCAUCUUUAAUGAUGCAGAUUUAUUACUUGUGCAAAUGCAUUAAUAACAAUUCUAUUAAGCUGAUGCUUCAAUUUUUGAAGUUAUU